rnacentral:rRNA from 1 species
AUACGGAGGAUGCAAGCGUUAUCCGGAUUUAUUGGGUUUAAAGGGUGCGUAGGCUGUUCGGAAAGUCAGGGGUGAAAGCCCGGCGCCUGACGCCGGAACUGCCUUUGAUACUUCCGAGCUGGAAUACGGAUGCCGUGGGCGGAAUGAGUAGUGUAGCGGUGAAAUGCAUAGAUAUUACUCAGAACACCGAUUGCGAAGGCAUCUCACGAAUCCGUCAUUGACGCUGAGGCACGAAAGCGUGGGGAUCAAACAGGAUUAGAUACCCUGGUAGUCCACGCAGUAAACGAUGAUGACUAACCGUCGGCGAUACACAGUCGGUGGCCAAGCGAAAGCGAUAAGUCAUCCACCUGGGGAGUACGUUCGCAAGAAUGAAACUCAAAGGAAUUGACGGGG